rnacentral:rRNA from 1 species
CCUACGGGUGGCAGCAGUCGAGAAUCAUUCACAAUGGGGGAAACUCUGAUGGUGCGACGCCGCGUGGGGGAAUGCAGGUCUUCGGAUUGUAAAACCCUGUCAUGUGGGAGCAAAUGACAAAGAUAGUACCACAAGAGGAAGAGACGGCUAACUCUGUGCCAGCAGCCGCGGUAAUACAGAGGGGUCAAGCGUUGUUCGGCAUCACUGGGCGUAAAGCGUGCGUAGGCUGUUUGGUAAGUCGUGUGUGAAAGGCUCGGGCUCACCCCGCGGACGGCACAUGAUACUGCGAGACUAGAGUAAUGGAGGGGGAACCGGAAUUCUCGGUGUAGCAGUGAAAUGCGUAGAUAUCGGGAGGAACACUCGUGGCGAAGGCGGGUUCCUGGACAUUAACUGACGCUGAGGCACGAAGGCCAGGGGAGCGAAAGGGAUUAGAUACCCGUGUAGUC